rnacentral:rRNA from 1 species
UGCCAGCCGCCGCGGUAAUACGGAGGGUGCAAGCGUUGUCCGGAUUUAUUGGGUUUAAAGGGUGCGUAGGUGGUUUAUUAAGUCAGUGGUGAAAUCCUGCAGCUUAACUGUGGAACUGCCAUUGAUACUGGUAACCUUGAGUGUCGUUGAGGCAGGCGGAAUUUAUGGUGUAGCGGUGAAAUGCAUAGAUACCAUAAAGAACACCGAUAGCGAAGGCAGCUUGCUUAGCGACAACUGACACUGAUGCACGAAAGCGUGGGUAGCGAACAGGAUUAGAUA